UGGGCUACACACGUGCUACAAUGGACGGUACAAAGAGCUGCAAGACCGCGAGGUGGAGCUAAUCUCAUAAAACCGUUCUCAGUUCGGAUUGUAGGCUGCAACUCGCCUACAUGAAGCUGGAAUCGCUAGUAAUCGCGGAUCAGCAUGCCGCGGUGAAUACGUUCCCGGGCCUUGUACACACCGCCCGUCACACCACGAGAGUUUGUAACACCCGAAGUCGGUGGGGUAACCUUUUUGGAGCCAGCCGCCUAAGGUGGGACAGAUGAUUGGGGUGAAGUCGUAACAAGGUAGCCGUAUCGGAAGGUGCGGUUGGUUUCACC
rnacentral:rRNA from 1 species